UCUUCGGUUCAUGUAUGAGACGAAAUCGGCAAUGGAGAUUACGGAUAGGAGGGACGAGGAGAUCAGGGAAGGUGGAGAAUCCGGAAACAUGGACAGCAUUAAGUCGCAGUAUGUUACCGACUCUUUUGCCGAUGAACGCCACUCUCGCGAGCUCAAGGCUGGUCUGCAUCCUCUACGGUACAAGUUUGCGAUUUGGUACACCCGUCGCACACCAGGGGUCCGAAGUCAGACUGCAGAAAUACUAGCAUUCAAGAUAAUAUCGGAACAGGGGAUUGCAUCUGGAAUCAGGCGUAUCGAAGCGGUUGCAGGUGAAGCAUUUUUUUGAAUACAUAAACUCACGGGAUUCUCAAAUGAAACGUCGAUGCUCGACUCUCAAGGUCGUUUUCGUGGAGCUUUUUCCAAGUCGAUUUUCUGUUCUCACACCUCAGGCUUUGAAAGUUUGCUUCUCAGAUACAUUGCUUUGACG